UACAGAGGUCUCAAGCGUUGUUCGGAUUCAUUGGGCGUAAAGGGUGCGUAGGCGGGCCUGUAAGUGUCCUGUGAAAUCCCCCGGCUCAACCGGGGAACUGCGGGGCAUACUGCGGGUCUUGAGGAAGGUAGGCGCCGAGGGAACAGUAGGUGGAGCGGUGAAAUGCGUAGAUAUCUACUGGAACGCCGAUGGUGAAGACGCUCGGCUGGGCCUUUCCUGACGCUGAGGCACGAAAGCGUGGGGAGCAAACAGG
rnacentral:rRNA from 1 species